GUUUUUGCAAAAAUGCCAAAGACUCCAAAAACGAUAAUGCCUCUUUAAUUCUGCAGAACAACUGGUUUAAAAAUGUUCUCCAUCCCUGACUUAUGAAGUUGAAAAGCCCAAGAAUCCAAGAAAAUGUAAUAAAAAUAUUUGUGACCAAAAAUAGGAUAUCAUUGAAGGAAAGAAGAUGCAAUGAUAAACACUCAAAGACAUACCCAUGUAAAAUCUACAUGGCGAUGUUACUACAGUAAUGACUAUAACUAUGAGUUGACGCAAAAAUAAAGAAUUAAAAACAAAAAAACAAAAGAAAACCUCAAAGACAGG